AGGGCAUACGGUGGAUGCCUUGGUACCAACAGCCGAAGAAGGACGUGGCAAGCUGCGAGAAGCUGCGGCGAGGCGCAAGCGGCCUUUGACCCGCAGAUGUCCGAAUGGGGCAACCCACCUGGAGUAGUCCAGGUAUCCCGUAAGGGAAGGAACCCGGAGAAGUGAAACAUCUCAGUAUCCGGAGGAAGAGAAAUCGAAGAGAUUCCCUAAGUAGUGGUGAGCGAACGGGGAAGAGCCUAAACCAUAUACAUGUAAGGCUGCGGUCGUUGUGUAUAUGGUGUAGAGGGGCUUUUCAUGCAUAGUCCGCAGGCUAGGCACGGAGUUAUCAAGAUACUUUUUAGCAGAACUGUGUUGGGAAAGCAGGCCAUAGACGGUGAGAGCCCGGUAUGCGACAGAGAGUAUCCUCCGAGAAGAGUUCCCGAGUAGGCCGGAGCACGUGGAAUUCCGGUUGAAUCAGGGUGGACCAUCAUCCAAGGCUAAAUACUGUUGGUGACCGAUAGUGGAUGAGUACCGAGAGGGAAGGGUGAAAAGCACCCCUGGCGGGGAGUGAAAUAGACCUGAACCCGUAUGCCUACAAGCAAUCGGAGCAAGAGAUGCCGCGAGGCAUUGAAUGUGACGGUGUGCCUUUUGUAAAAUGAGCCGGCGAGUUAUUAGACGUAGCGAGGUUAAGGUGCGUAUGUGCACUGGAGCCGUAGGGAAACCGAGUCUGAAUAGGGCGCAAGUUUCGUUUAAUAGACCCGAAGCCGCACGAUCUAUCCAUGGCCAGGUUGAAGUCCGGGUGAAGCCGGAUGGAGGACCGAACCAGUUUCUGUUGAAAAAGAUUUGGAUGAGCUGUGGAUCGGAGUGAAAAGCUAAUCGAGUGCGGUGAUAGCUGGUUCUCCCCGAUAUGCAUUGAGGUGCAGCCUUACGGAAUUGAGAUAUGGGGGUAGAGCACUGGAUGGACGCGGGGGACUGGGGUCCUACCAAAUUCAACCAAACUUCGAAUACCAUAUUUUGUACCGUAGGAGUGAGACUACGGGUGAGAAGGUCCGUGGUCGUGAGGGAAACAGCCCAGACCGUCAGCUAAGGUCCCAAAGCGUAUGCUAAGUGUGGCAAGGAUGUGAGAGUGCCUGGACAGCCAGGAGGUUGGCUUAGAAGCAGCCACCCUUUAAAGAGUGCGUAACAGCUCACUGGUCGAGGACUUUUGCGCCGAGAAUGUAGGGGGCUAAGCAUACUGCCGAAGCUGCGGGAUAUGUGCAAGAGUGUAUAUAUCGGUAGGGGAGCGUUCCAUACGGGGCGAAGCAGAGCCGCGAGGUCAUGUGGACUGUAUGGAAGUGAGAAUGCUGGCAUGAGUAACGCGAAGUGCGUGAGAAACGUACUCACCGGAAGCCCAAGGGUUCCUGGGGAAGGUUCAUCCGCCCAGGGUUAGGCGGGACCUAAGGCGAGGCCGAGAGGCGUAGUCGAUGGAUAGCAGGUAGAUAUUCCUGUCCCAGCCAAUGAGCGUUAAUACCGAAGGGGUGACACAGAAAGCUAGGUGAUCCGGGUGAUGGAAGUCCCGGUCCAAGGGUGUAGGGAGUUUCCGCAGGCAAAUCCGCGGGAAUAAUUCUGAGACCUGAUGGGGAGGCCCUACGGGGUCGAAGUCAUUGAAGCUCGGCUGUCGAGAAAAGCCUCUAGGGAGUUUGUUGGUUGCUCGUACCCGAAACCGACACAGGUGGGCUAGCUGAGGAAGCUAAGGUGAGCGGGAAAACCCUCGUUAAGGAACUCUGCAAGUUGACCCCGUAACUUCGGGAGAAGGGGUGCCACUCUGGUGAAAUAUAAUCAUAUGGAGCUAAGGGUGGUCGCAGAAACCAGGCUCAGGCGACUGUUUACUAAAAACACAGGUCUCUGCAUAAGGCGUAAGCCGAAGUAUAGGGACUGACACCUGCCCGGUGCUGGAAGGUUAAAUGGAGAGGUUAGCGUAAGCGAAGCCUUGAUAUGAAGCCCCAGUAAACGGCGGCCGUAACUAUAACGGUCCUAAGGUAGCGAAAUUCCUUGUCGGGUAAGUUCCGACCUGCACGAAUGGUGUAACGAUCUGAGCACUGUCUCAACGAGGGACCCGGUGAAAUUGUGGUACUGGUAAAGACGCCAGUUACCUGUGGUGGGACGGAAAGACCCCGUGGAGCUUUACUGUAGCCUGAUAUUGGAUUUUGGUCUGUCAUGUACAGGAUAGGUGGGAGGCGUAGAAUGGAGGGCGUCAGCCUUUCAGGAGCCGUUGUUGGGAUACCACCCUUGACAUACCGAAGUUCUAACUGUUGAGUCUGAAUCGGCUGGCAGGACAUUGUCAGGUGGGCAGUUUGACUGGGGCGGUCGCCUCCUAAAGAGUAACG
rnacentral:rRNA from 1 species